UUAAGCCUACGGGGGGCAGCAGUGGGGAAUAUUGCACAAUGGGGGAAACCCUGAUGCAGCGACGCCGCGUGAAGGAAGAAGUAUUUCGGUAUGUAAACUUCUAUCAGCAGGGAAGAAAAUGACGGUACCUGACUAAGAAGCCCCGGCUAACUACGUGCCAGCAGCCGCGGUAAUACGUAGGGGGCAAGCGUUAUCCGGAUUUACUGGGUGUAAAGGGAGCGUAGACGGUCCUGCAAGCCAGAUGUGAAAGCCCGGGGCUCAACCCCGGGACUGCAUUUGGAACUGUAAGGCU
rnacentral:rRNA from 1 species